rnacentral:rRNA from 1 species
GACGAACGCUGGCGGCGUGCCUAAUACAUGCAAGUAGAACGCUGAAGGAGGAGCUUGCUUCUCUGGAUGAGUUGCGAACGGGUGAGUAACGCGUAGGUAACCUGCCUGGUAGCGGGGGAUAACUAUUGGAAACGAUAGCUAAUACCGCAUAAUAGUAGAUGUUGCAUGACAUUUGCUUAAAAGGUGCAAUUGCAUCACUACCAGAUGGACCUGCGUUGUAUUAGCUAGUUGGUGAGGUAACGGCUCACCAAGGCGACGAUACAUAGCCGACCUGAGAGGGUGAUCGGCCACACUGGGACUGAGACACGGCCCAGACUCCUACGGGAGGCAGCAGUAGGGAAUCUUCGGCAAUGGACGGAAGUCUGACCGAGCAACGCCGCGUGAGUGAAGAAGGUUUUCGGAUCGUAAAGCUCUGUUGUAAGAGAAGAACGAGUGUGAGAGUGGAAAGUUCACACUGUGACGGUAUCUUACCAGAAAGGGACGACUAACUACGUG